UCUAGGACACAUGGGGACACAGACACUGGGAGACCUGGGGACACUGGAAAACAUGGGGACACUGAGACACUAUGGGACACAUGGUGAUGCUGUGAGACAUAGGGACAUUGGGAGACAUUGGGACACAGAGACACUAUGUUCCCAUGUCCCCCAGCCAGUGUCCCUAGUGUCUCAGUGUCCCCAAGUCUCCCAGUGUCUGUGUCCCAUGUCUCUCAGUG